ensembl:lncRNA novel transcript
GGAAGUACAAGGCGCCUCCAUCUUCACAGCAUGAAGGAAGCCGAGGAGAUGCCAUGUGAGGGUGCAGCGAGGAGUUGGGCUGUCUAAAAGCAAAGAAAGAGAUUGCAUCAGACACCGCAUCUGCUGACACCUUGUUCUUGGACUUCCAGCUUCCAAAACCGCGAGAAAUAAAUGUCUGUGUCUAAACCCCAACCCUACCACCUCAACUGCCGUGUGUGGUGUUUUGUGAUGGCAGCCCCAGCUGACUGAGACACCUGGUUAGACCGGAAUAAGCAGGCUGCAAUCGGUAGCAGUCACCAUUGAACAUCCUUGAAGCAAUUCUUCCAAAAUUACCUUGCAUCAAAGACUGCACAAGAACUGCUCUAAGCGGAAGGACUGAUGUCGGCAACCAGGGUUCCACCAGGGGCUGCAGACAGCCCUUGACCUUCAGGUGGGAAGGUGUCACUGAGUUCAGACCCUCUGGCAAUCCCUAGCUAUCAACAUUUUGAUAAGAAAAUAAGUGGAAAGGGCUAGUGUGAGCAUCCCUGUGCAAUGGCUUAUUGGGAAAUUGAUGUGCAUUGCACCGGAAGCAAUCUCCUCAUCUUCCUGCUUACUCAUCAGACUGAAAAAGGCAACACAGACUACCAUUCAUUGUGUGGCUACAAGGCACUAUGCAUUUUCAUACAAUAUAUCUAAAGCCCAUAAUACUCACCAAAAUAAACCAUUGCUGCCACAAUUUAAGAGAUGAGUGGAAUGAAGCUCAGGGGUAAAGUAAUGGGUUUAAAUUAUAGUCUUAUCUGACUCCAAAAACCAUUCUCUUGCUAUUUCUUCAUACAGCUUAUCAGGAUCACCAUGUCCUGAUCUUUUUCUGAGCAUUCAGUCUCCUAUUUCCUAAGUGCUCAGCAAAACAUUUGCCAGCCCAAUUCUUAAUUUCAUUAUCAUCAGCAAAAUGAAUAAUCAGAAUUAAUUGGUGAAUGGUUUCUUCCUAGCACCCCUUUAAGAAACUUUCCCCUGCAAUCUCCAUGGGCACUAGCUUCAGCCCUUGAGUAUAAAUAAGUCAGUAAUAAAGAAUGUAGGAGCCUAAUAAUAAA